UACGUAGGGUGCGAGCGUUAAUCGGAAUUACUGGGCGUAAAGCGUGCGCAGGCGGUUCGCUAAGACCGAUGUGAAAUCCCCGGGCUUAACCUGGGAACUGCAUUGGUGACUGGCGGGCUAGAGUAUGGCAGAGGGGGGUAGGAAUUCCACGUGUAGCAGUGAAAUGCGUAGAGAUGUGGAGGAAUACCGAUGGCGAAGGCAGCCCCCUGGGCCAAUACUGACGCUCAUGCACGAAAAGCGUGGGGGAGCAAACAGG
rnacentral:rRNA from 1 species